rnacentral:rRNA from 1 species
UAGGGAAUCUUCCACAAUGGACGAAAGUCUGAUGGAGCAACGCCGCGUGAGUGAUGAAGGGUUUCGGCUCGUAAAACUCUGUUGUUGGAGAAGAACGGGUGUCAGAGUAACUGUUGACAUCGUGACGGUAUCCAACCAGAAAGCCACGGCUAACUACGUGCCAGCAGCCGCGGUAAUACGUAGGUGGCAAGCGUUGUCCGGAUUUAUUGGGCGUAAAGCGAGCGCAGGCGGUUUUUUAGGUCUGAUG